CGAUCCUGGCUCAGAUUGAACGCUGGCGGGAUGCUUUACACAUGCAAGUCGAACGGCAGCACGGACUUCCGGUCUGGUGGCGAGUGGCGAACGGGUGAGUAAUGUAUCAGGUGCCUGAAUGGCGGGGGGAUAACUACAUGAAAGCGUAGCUAGCCACGCCCGCGCUGGGGAAAGCAGGGACCUUCCGGGCCUCACUAUUAAACGGCCGAUAUCGGAUUAGCUAGUUGGUGGGAGAGUAACGGCUCACCGGGAGGCGACGAUCCAUGGCUGGUUUGAAGGACGAAACCAGCCACACUGGACUGAGACACGGCACCCAGACUCCUACAGGAAGCAGCAGUGGGGAAUUUUGGACAAUGCGAAGCCUGAUGCAGCAUCGCGUGUGCGUGAGGCCUUCGGGUUGUAAAGCACUUUUGGCAAGGAAAGAAACGCGCAGGAUAAUACCCCGUGCAACUGACGAAGCACCUGCAGAAUAAGCACCGGCCCAUUACCCGGCAGCCGGGUAACAUGAAGUUCGGCGUUAAUCGGAAUUACUGGGCGUAAAAGCGUGCGCAGGCGGUUCAGAAGAAGAUCGCUGAAGUCCCGGGAAGCGCUUUGGAACUGCAUUUUAACUACCGAGCUAGAGUGUAUUCAGAGGAGGUGAAGAUUCCGCGAUGUAAGCGAGUGAAAUGCGUAGAUAUGCGGGAGGAACACCGAUGGCGAAGGCAACCUCCUGGGAUAACGCGGCAGCUCAUGCACGAAAGCGUGGGGAGCAAACAGGAUUAAGUACCUGGUAGUCCACGCCCUAAACGAUGUCAACUAGCUGUUGUUGGGGCCUUCCGGGCAUGGUGCAGCGCAGCUAGCGCGUGAAGUUGACCGCCUGGGGAAAUUACGGUCGCAAGAUUAAAACUCAAAGAGAUUGACGGGGACCCGCACGAAGCGGUGGAUGAUGUGGAUUAAUUCGAUGCAACGCGAAAAAGCCUUACCUACCCUUGACAUGUCUGGAGUAGAAGAGAUUUGGGAGUGCUCGCAGAGAACCGGAACACAGGUGCUGCAUGGCCUCGUCAGCUCGUGUCGUGAGAUGUUGGGUUAGUCCCGCAACGAGCGCAACCCUUGUCAUUAGUUGCUACGAGGGCACUCUAAUGAGACUGCCGGUGACAAACCGGGGGAAGGUGGGGAUGACGUCAAGUCCUCAUGGCCCUUAUGGGUAGGGCUUCACACGUCAUACAAUGGUCAGGACAGAGGGUCGCCAACCCGCGAGGGCCAAUCCCAGAAACCUUUGAUCGUAGUCCGGAUCGCAGUCUGCAACUCGACUGCGUGAAGUCGGAAUCGCUAGUAAUCGCGGAUCAGCAUGUCGCGGUGAAUACGUUCCCGGGUCUUGUACACACCGCCCGUCACACCAUGGGAGUGGGUUUUGCAAGUAGUUAGCCUAACCGUAAGGAGGGCGAUUACCACGGUAGGAUUCAUGACUGGGGUGAAGUCGUAACAAGGCCAA
rnacentral:rRNA from 1 species